AACGAACGCUGGCGGCAGGCCUAACACAUGCAAGUCGAGCGAGAUCUUCGGGUCUAGCGGCGGACGGGUGAGUAACGCGUGGGAAUAUGCCUCUUGGUACGGAAUAGCCUCGGGAAACUGGGAGUAAUACCGUAUGUGCCCUUUGGGGGAAAGAUUUAUCGCCAAGAGAUUAGCCCGCGUUGGAUUAGGUAGUUGGUGGGGUAAUGGCCUACCAAGCCGACGAUCCAUAGCUGGUUUGAGAGGAUGAUCAGCCACACUGGGACUGAGACACGGCCCAGACUACGACGGGAGGAAGCAGUGGGGAAUCAGAGACAAGGGGGGCAACACUGAACUAGCCAUGCCGGGGGAGUGAUGAAGGCCUUAGGGUUGUAAAGCUCUUUCAGCUGGGAAGAUAAUGACGGUACCAGCAGAAGAAGCCCCGGCUAACUCCGUG
rnacentral:rRNA from 1 species